AACGAACGCUGGCGGCAUGCCUAACACAUGCCAGUCGAACGAGACCUUCGGGUCUAGUGGCGCACGGGUGCGUAACGCGUGGGAACCUGCCCUUAGGUUCGGAAUAACUCCCCGAAAGGGGUGCUAAUACCGGAUAAUGUCUUCGGACCAAAGAUUUAUCGCCUUUGGAUGGGCCCGCGUUGGAUUAGCUAGUUGGUAGGGUAAAAGCCUACCAAGGCGACGAUCCAUAGCUGGUCUGAGAGGAUGAUCAGCCACACUGGGACUGAGACACGGCCCAGACUCCUACGGGAGGCAGCAGUGGGGAAUAUUGGACAAUGGGCGAAAGCCUGAUCCAGCAAUGCCGCGUGAGUGAAGAAGGCCUUAGGGUUGUAAAGCUCUUUUACCCGGGAUGAUAAUGACAGUACCGGGAGAAUAAGCUCCGGCUAACUCCGU
rnacentral:rRNA from 1 species